rnacentral:tRNA from 1 species
GCCUGACUGGCUCAGUCGGUAGAGCAUGUGACUCUUGAUUUCAAGUCAUGCGUUCAAGCCCCACGUUGGGUG